rnacentral:ncRNA from 2 species
AGCGGUUUGGUAGCCUGUGGCCGCCGUGGUGUACGGGAAGCCGGUCGAAUGCCGGCGCGGCCCUCGCCACUGUAGCCGCGGAGUUCCGCAGCCCUCGCCGACCGCUCCCCAGGCGGUCGGGGUCACUGGAUGGAUCGGGAACGAGCCAACCGGGAAGGCCGGCCGCGGAGCGUCGAUGCGGAAGCCAGGAGACCGGCCACGGCGCGACAUGUUCC